GACGAACGCUGGCGGCGUGCUUAACACAUGCAAGUCGAACGGAAAGGCCCUGCUCUUGUGGGGUGCUCGAGUGGCGAACGGGUGAGUAACACGUGAGUAACCUGCCCUUGACUUUGGGAUAACUUCAGGAAACUGGGGCUAAUACCGGAUAGGAGCUCCUGCUGCAUGGUGGGGGUUGGAAAGUUUCGGCGGUUGGGGAUGGACUCGCGGCUUAUCAGCUUGUUGGUGGGGUAGUGGCUUACCAAGGCUUUGACGGGUAGCCGGCCUGAGAGGGUGACCGGCCACAUUGGGACUGAGGUACGGCACAGACUGCUACGGGAGGCAUCAGUGGGGAAUAUUGCACAAUGGGCGGAAGCCUGAUGCAGAAGCGCCGCGUGCGGGAUGACGGCCUUCGGGUUGUAAACCGCUUUCGCCUGUGACGAAGCGUGAGUGACGGUAAUGGAUAAAGAAGCACCGGCUAACUACGUG
rnacentral:rRNA from 1 species